ACGGAGGGGGCUAGCGUUGUUCGGAUUUACUGGGCGUAAAGCGCGUGUAGGCGGCCUUGCAAGUUGGAUGUGAAAGCCCACGGCUCAACCGUGGAAGCGCAUCCAAAACUGCAUCGCUCGAGUCUCGGAGAGGAAGGUGGAAUGCUUGGUGUAGAGGUGAAAUUCGUAGAUAUCAAGCAGAACACCUGCGGCGAAGGCGGCCUUCUGGACGAUGACUGACGCUGAGACGCGAAAGCGUGGGGAGCAAACAGGA
rnacentral:rRNA from 1 species